rnacentral:rRNA from 1 species
UACAGAGACUGCAAGCGUUAAUCGGAAUUACUGGGCGUAAAGCGUGCGCAGGCGGCUUUGCAAGACAGAUGUGAAAUCCCCGGGCUUAACCUGGGAACUGCAUUUGUGACUGCAUGGCUGGAGUGCGGCAGAGGGGGAUGGAAUUCCGCGUGUAGCAGUGAAAUGCGUAGAUAUGCGGAGGAACACCGAUGGCGAAGGCAAUCCCCUGGGCCUGCACUGACGCUCAUGCACGAAAGCGUGGGGAGCAAACAGG